ensembl:lncRNA
GGAAAUGGGGGAGAUUUUGCAGACGGCAUCCCACCCCCUCUUCCUCCUGUUCCCCACCCCCAACCUCGCCAUGUAAACACGAGGACUUUCUCGAGAGUCUUGGAGAGCGGCUCUAGUGGCUUCAGGGUCUGAAACCCCAGGCUUGGCUUGUUUGAUGUUUAGCAUCCCAAAGCGACUCCCCCACCCCUGCCCCAGCCUGGGAGCCCGGAGUUGUGGGUCGGAGAGGCAGGAAAGCAACCCUCUCAGCUGGCCUGGCUGGGCUCUGGGGCGGCGUGAAGACUGGGACAGAGAUGCUCUGAGCAGGAAAGAAGGGGGAGCCCGGCCUGCCGCCACCCCGCAACAGGGACACAAGCGGGUACAGCUGGAGUCCUCCAGGCCCAGAAAGCGGGAGGGGACAGGGAAUGCGUCAGCAGCUCGGACACAGGCUCUGGGACCGGGGCCGGCUCGCUGGGAAGUAACUCGAGGGCCCAGGAGCGAAAUCAGAGCCAGGCCGGAGCCGACUCCGCGAGAAACGCUCCCUAACUCCUGGAGGCGGGGGGAGGCCCCGCGUGCUCCAGUUCCAAGGGCCUCGCCAGAGGCAGCUCUUCUUCCCACUGCUUAAAGGGCUUGGCCUUCCAAGGGAUUUGAAAUCCUCCCGGGGCGGGGACAGGCCUAGGGCUGGCACUGAGGUGUCCGAUUUUGAGACGCCAGUGGAAGAAGUCUCAGACGUUAGAGGCCGCACACUCUCGGAGCGCGCUUGCGGGCGUCUGGACGCGGAUGAGGGGCCUUCUCCAGUCGCGAGUGUACAAAAGGUAGCGCCGAGUCUCUUCUGAGGCGACCCGAGCUAAGAGGAAAGGAGAGCGGGGUUUUCUGACUUUCAACUCAUUAGGGACCAGGUAGAGCUCCCUCCAGGCGACUGAGGUGCUUCAAAACAUUGAGAGAAAGACUAAUUGAUAAAACUUUUGACACUGGAAAACUUGGUUAGAUUAGCAACCAAAGAUGUCAUCAUCUCAGCAACAGAAAAUCUUGGAAAAGGUUUUCUUUCUUCAGGAUCAGACACAGAAACUGAUUGAAUGGCUCCACUGAUCAGGAAUUGAAAAACCAAACUGCAGAACCUACUGCUUGGUAUAUAUACCCAGAAGUGGAUUUGCUGGAUCAUUGGGAAGAUCCCCUGGAGAAGGAAAUGGCAACCCACUCCAGCACUCUUGCCUGGAAAAUCCCAUGGACGGAAGAGCCUGAUAGGCUACAGUCCAUGGGGUCGCAAAGAGUCGGACAUGACUGAGCGACUUCACUUUCAUGGUAGUUUUAUUUUUACUUUGUUGAGGAACCUUUGUACUGUUUUUCUAUAGUAGUUGUAUGAAUUUACAUCUCCACCAACAAUGUUAGGAGGGUUCCCUUUUCUCCACAUCCUCUCUAACAUUUGUUAUUUGCAGAUUUUUUUGAUGAUAGCUAUUCUCACAGGUGUCAGAUUAUAUCUUAUUUUUGUUUUGAUUUGCAUUUCUCUAAUAAUAAGCAAUGUUGAGCAUCUUUUCAUGUGCCUGUUGGCCAUCUGUAUGUCUUUGGAAAAAUGUCUAUUCAGGUCUCCUGCCCAUUUUUAAAGUUUUUAAAAAAUAUUGAGCUGUAUGAGCUGCUUGUAUAAUUUGGUUGUCAACCUCUUGUCAGUCAUAUCAUUUGCAAAUGUUUUCUCGUAUUCUGUAGGUUGUCUUUUUGUUCUGUUGAUGGUUCCCUUUUUGCUGUGCAAAGGCUUUUAGGUUUAAUUAGGUCCCAUUUGUUUAUUUUUACUUUUGUUUCCUUUGACCGAGGAGAUAUAGCCAAAAAAUAUUGCUAUGACUUAUGUCAAAGAGUGUUCUGCCUAUGUUCUCAUCUAGGAGUUUUAUGGUUUCAGGUCUUAUAUUUAGGUCUAUAUAUCCAUUUUUAAUUUAUUUUUGUAUAUAGUAAAAAUGAUUUUUACAGUAUAAUUUACUUAGGAUUAAACUGAAGAAAUGGAAAAUAGAGUGACAUUCUGAGAAGCAUUUUGUUUAAAGCCUUUUAUUUUGGGUCAGUAGUCACUCAACAACCAAUCUAUUUAUUUUGUAUAAGCCUCAGACACAUUAUUAUUGUUGUUACUAUUUAACAUUAUAGCUUGGAGUUUUUGAUGCACAGAGAAAGCUUUCAUGAGGUAUUGAAUCUAUCCAUUUGCUCAGUGAUAAAGCAGAGGAUGCAAAAGAGGAAAAUUGUACCAGAGGUCCUCUGAUUCUUUUUUAGCAUUUCCAUCCUAUGCUCAAGGAAGGUGAAGGUUUUGGGAGGACUGAGCCCUCAGAGCUCUGAGAACCAACUCUGACUGGAGGAUAUUUAUCCUUGUUUAAUUUUGCUUCAUUUAUCACUCUGUAACCAAUACCAGUCCAUCCUAAAGGAGAUCAGUCCUGGGUGUUCAUUGGAAGGACUGAUGCUGAAGCUGAAACUCCAACAGUUUGGCCACCUCAUGCGAAGAGUUGACUCAUUGGAAAAGACUCUGAUGCUAGGAGGGAUUGGGGGCAGGAGGAGAAGAGGACAACAGAGGAUGAGAUGGCUGGAUGGUAUCACCGACUCGAUGGACAUGAGUUUGGGGGUAAUGAGUGGCACUACCAGAUCUCCUGUCUCCCUGGAAUCGUGUUUGGAAAGCACAGGCCCUGCCUGUGGCUAUCUGCCCUCCCAGAUACCAUCUGCUGCCUGUCUGUCACCAUCAACUGCAAGUACUAUGUUCAUGGGACCAGACCUUCGCCUACCACCCUCCGCUGCAGGUAUCCUAUGAUGGUCCGCCUCUUUGACAUGAGAGAGCCCAUUCUUGGUUCUAGGAACAAAUCCUUGCUGGUCUGCCUCAUUCCUGCCAGAGAUAAAGAUAACACUGAUAGUAAUAAAAAACAUAUAGUGAGUGUUUAAAGCGAUGGUGCUCAGACGUUCAGUCCUGUCCGACUCUUUGUGAUCCCCUGGACAGAGAAGCCUGCCAUGGACUGAAGCCUGCCAUGGACUGAAGCCUGCCAGGUUUCUCUGUCCAUGGGAUUCUGCUGGCAGGAAUACUAGAGUAGGUUGCCAUUUCCUCCUCCAGGGGAUCUCCCAAACCCAGGGCGUUUCCUGCAUUGGCAGGUGGAUCUUUACCACUAGCGCCCCCUGGGAAGCUCCAGUGAGUGCUUACUAUUAUUCAUUUAAUGGUUUUGGCCCUUCCAUUCUUGGCCGUGACCGGAGACAGGCUAUAACUCACUCCUGAAGAGAUCUAAUGUGGAUGAACAUAUUAGCAUAUUAUCACAGGCAUGAAAGCUGAUACUCCAUCUACCCAGAACAGGCCCAAGGAGAGGGAAAAGCAAGACCCCUCCCUGUCUCACUGUCUGUGCCAAGUCCAGAGAUGGUGCUUGCCUACUGCUUCCAGCGGCCCGUCACAGAUAAGGCAGUCAUCAGAAGCCGAGGUGUUGCCAAUAAGAAUAUUCACUGAAAGAAACGCACCGGCUUCAUUUUUGGGCAGAUUCUCUUCCCGUGGAACAGUGAAUCCUUUUACCUAGUCUUCUUGCUCUUCCUGAGUCUAAUCUAUACCUGUUUUUACUGUGUUUCAGCUACGAGUAUAGUAGAAGUAAAUUAGAAAGAACUUUUUUCUCCUCUAUAUUGGCUUCAUGUUAAUAUGAACCUAUGGUCUGAAAAGGAGUUUUUUGAUUAUCUGGGUAUGCAGUCAUCCUUACCACUGACUAAUAAGAGGUCAUGAAGAGUUGAUUGAGAAAGAAGGGAACAUGGAAUAUCUGGUUUUAGAUCAUCCCAAACUUGUCUCAUCAAUAAAAUGUCACUUCAGCUUUGCUUAUUUGUUGGACAGGAUAGAGGUGGAACUUUAAAAAGGCCUGGAGUGACCUGUGGAUUGAAGAGAAACCUCCCCAAAUCAGAGAUGAGGACUUUUUACCAGCAGUUUUCAAACACAGACUUGAAAAAUAAUAAAUUAACCUUUCAACACUUGGAAACCUUAGAAAAUUGCAUGAUCACUGAUAAAUCAUUAAAAUCACUUUUUUUCUUCUUUGAACAUAAUAAAGACCAUUUUUCUUAGAUCUGUUAUAUACCUUCAAAUGGAACAAAUACAAUGAAUAAACAAGCUACUUUAUAUUUUCAAUCUAGUUAUAAGGAAGGAAUGUUUUUGGAUCCUGGAUGUUAGCAGUUUCCUUUAAAAAAAAAAAAAAAAACAGGAAACCCUCUAUAAAUGAAAGAAAAGUGUAUAGUAUGCAAAUUCAAAGUGUACUGUCCUCAUUUACCCAGUGGAAUUCAAAAUAAGCCCCAACUUGUGAACAUAUUAAAACAGAUUGAAAUGGAUAUUAGUGGGAUUUGUAAGGAGAAGCACUCCAGUCCAUCAAACAUGCUAUGCACUAGAACUUUGAUAAUGUUGUUUUACUGAUAAUUACCUGCCAGCUGUCACCUCAACGUGGGAUUUCAUGCAGGUUCCUAUAUUUAAACAUUACAUUCGGAGCCAAGCCUGCAAAGACACUUAUACCGAUCUGGCCAUGUCCAUUUUAUUUCACAAUUAUCUGUGAAUUUCUUCGUGAAAAGCAAUCCAUCUAACUCCCUUUUAAUUGUGUUUGAUCUGUGUGGGCAAGAGACCCAUCAAUACCGGGUUCCCACUUCCCUGGCCAGAGCAGGUUCUGCCUUCUCUCCCUUGCAGGCACCAGCAGAUACCAGAAUUACUGGAAAGCAGCACUUCCCAACAACAAGCAUGAAUAUUCAUCUGACCUGAAGAAAUAGUCACGGGGCAAAGCAAAUACCUUGUAUUAACGAAAGGUGUUUUAAACAGGAAGGAGCAUCUUCUGCCGUCCUCCUGGGCAACUAGUGCCUGUGGGCCCUCCGGCUCUGCAGAGAACUUCCUUUUCUCUCUACCCCACCCCCACUUUUUUUCCCCCCAUACUGAACUCCUAAUUAAAUUUAACAGUUUCAAGAGUUUAAACUGUAUACCUUUUUAAUUGUGUCCUACUUUGUAUUGGCUGAUGCAGAAGUCUGAAAAUGGAUAUUACAGCUUUUUAUGAUAUAAUAUCACCCUAAUUGGUGCUUCAUAGGCCGUGGCUGAAUUCUUUUCAAUUAAGCGCUAACAUACAGUAACUGUUUCUCUCUGCAAAUGCUGGAAAGCCAUUCACAAGAGAGGACUGGUACUGCACAAUUCCAAAGUACCUUAAUGUGUCAAAAAUGUUUUGUGAAGAAAGCUACACUGUAAAUGCAAUCACCUACAUUGGUGUUCCCAUUGUUCACUGGGAGUGAAAGUAUUGCUAAUUGUCCUGCGUUUUAGCUGGGUUUUUAAAGCAUUAUGUAGUAAGUACACCGGAGGGUCAAUUUGUGAAGUGAAAUACUUAGCAUGCAAAGCGUAAUACAAGAUGCUGUGUAAUACUUGACCUCUUAGCAUAAUAAAUGUAGCAGUGAAACGCUGUGCAUUCAGCAUUCACUGAAUAGAGCCUUCGCAGUGGAACAAAACCAGAAAAUGUUCUCUUCAUUCCUUUUUUUUUUUUUCACUAAGCGAAAAUUAUUCUUUAUAAUGGCCAUUGCAGCAAUUAGCUGGCAUUUGGUGGAAUAAAUGUGCAGAAAUAGCAAUUUCUUAUUUUAAAUGAGAUUUUGUAUGGAGCCUGCAAAUUACUUGAGGUAUAUGAAUAAUUGUGCCUUAGCUUUAUGCUACAGAAUAGGGUGUGGGUGGGUAUAAAGAUUUCCUAUUUGCAGUUAAAUGUUUAGACAUUUUAUUAUUUUAAUUUCACUCACAGUCUGCCUGGACUGACCCUGCUUUCCCAUUGAUCAUUUCAUGUGCGCCUGGAAGCAAGUGUGCAGAUGGCGGGAGACUCCCAAUUAGUGCACCAUGUUUUUUAUGAAUGUGACAUGUAAGUGCAAUCAGGUCUCCUCUGGAGGCAAUGGUGGUGUUGAUACUUUUGAGUUUCUAAAUCAAUACAAUUUAAUCAUAUGCAUGGAAUGAAUGUUUAUCAAUAUUCUCUGUGGUCAAAUGCAAUUGGAAACUUCAUUAAUUUUUUACCCAAAGUUUUUCACCUUAUUGAAAUGCAUUCUUCCAGGCAUUCAUGAUUCAUCUAAUUAGCCUUAAAUAGGGUAUUUUUUUCCUUCUCUCAAAGUGAUUCAGUUAAUUGCGUCCAUCUAUUCAUAAUUACAAGGUGGAUGAGUUUGGUAAAACUGAAAUUAUGAAAUCUGCAGAGAGAUUCUAAGAGGUUUAGGAUGUAGACUAUAAAAAAGGAAUGAGUAAAAGUCAGAGCAGUGAAAUAUUUUGUUUUAAUCCCCCUUAGCCCACCCCACUCCAACUGCUUUCUUAUGGGGUUUUAUGUAUUUAUUUUUUUCACUUAUCAUUUGUAAUCCAACAGCUUGCAAAAAUUGAUUUGAGGUAAGCUCAUCAUGAAUAAAAAUAAUAAUAAAGCAAACCCUACAAGAGCACUUGAACAAUGUGUCAAAAGUUAUUCCAGAAAUUUUUAAGAUAAUAUAUAAUCAUUUAAAGCCUAGCUGUUCAAAGAAGUUUCUUUCACCCACUGACCAGUUUCC